rnacentral:RNase_P_RNA from 1 species
GUGCGGUAAGAGCGCACCGCUCCGCUGGUAACAGGGGAGGCAGGGUAAACCCCACCGGGUGCAAAAUCGAAUAGGAACGUCGGUCUUCGCAAGAAGACAGCCCUUCUUCCGGGGUGUCGUUCGGGUAGAUUGCAAGAGUGUGCUGGCAACAGUAUGCCUAGAUGAAUGGUCAUCCAUCUGGUUCGCUUUUGGGCGAACCGGGGGACAGAACCCGGCUUACAGACCAUCUGGAUAU